ACCUUAGAUCUGCCCCUAAACACUCCCUGAAUAACUACGAGCGCAGAACAUGCUGCUGGAACGCUUUCCUAACCUAACACGAACGCGCACAUUCCCUUCCGCAGUGAAUUUGUUAAACCUGCUUGUUGACCUCUGCGAGGAUUUACAUCGCUCUGAUCGCGUUUUCUUUUGAUACUUCCGUAUGUAAGGAGUUCAGCGACUUUGUUUGUCGUUGUGCUGUACUGGCUUGUAGUAUCAGAGAGUGCGAGAAAUGGUGUAGUAUCCACUUAACUUCGCCUACAGUUAAGGUGGAGGUGCACUACACCGGACUGGGUAAUCUCACUCGAUUCUGCGGACGUAAAUUACUUGCGAACAACACAUACUCAGGACCAGAAGAAUGUGGCAGUUAUAGGUGCUUGUUUAAAACUCAACACACCGUCAACGCGUCAUCCCGUGUUCCAGGGUUUGUGUGAAUUAUAAAUUCUAUUCAGAAAGGCAUCGCCUGUGCGUUUAUAGGGAAACGCAGAUCCUCUAAGCACAACAUGGGCAGCACAGUGAUGGACACUAAAAGGAAGGAUGUUCCGAAGAAGAACUCUAAGAAGAAAAGAACGCUUCGGUUAAACAUGCCAGACCUGAGCUCCUUCGCCUUGCCCCUGCUGGAUGGAGAGGGGGAGCGAGCUGACAAAGACUGCACACGCAAGAGGGAAGAAAGCUGCUACUCAGCCAGCCCCACCAGAGGCUUCUUCAUGAGGGGUCCGGGUGGGCGGCCCCCCAGCCCUCGCUCCGCCCCCGUCAGGCCCAAAUCCAUCCCCAGCUCCUCCCCCAAAACCAUCUUCCCCUACCCCACCCAGCAGGAGUCCUCUCCCAAGUCCCCCCACCGCAUGAGCUUCAGCGGGAUCUUCCGCACCUCCUCCAAGGACUCCACCUCCUCCAGCACCCCCUCCUCCUCCCCCUCCCCCAUUGGCAUCAAACUGUUCUCUCGCACCAGGAAAGCUUCAGGGCUUUCCACUCCGCCCACGACUCCCACCCAGACGACCAAACAUCCCCCUUUCCCCCCGGACACCCCCAGAAAUGAGCCAGAGGGCCAAGAGGUGCGUGCGCGCACCUCAUCCCUGCUCCUGGACACCGGACAGCGGCUGGGACUCCCCUCCGCCAAGCCGCCCAUCCCCUCCGCCGCCCCCACGUCUACCUCACGACCCAUAGCUGCCAUCUCGAAAGCACAGGUCUACGGUUUAGCUGAAGGCAUGCUUGAGAAACUUGAACUAGACACCGAAGCUGCUGAAGAACCUGAGAGUGAUAUAUAUAUGCGGUUCAUGAAGUCCCACAAGUGCUACGACAUUGUCCCAACCAGCUCCAAGCUAGUCGUCUUUGACACUGCAUUGCAAGUUAAGAAGGCCUUCUUUGCCCUGGUGGCCAAUGGGGUCCGAGCAGCUCCUCUUUGGGAGACAAAAAAGCAGAGCUUUGUCGGAAUGUUAACCAUCACAGACUUUAUCAUCAUACUGCAACGAUACUACAAAUCACCUCUGGUGCAAAUAUAUGAGUUGGAAGAACACAAGAUUGAAACGUGGAGAGAUCUCUACCUUCAAGAAACAUUUAAGCCAUUAGUAAACAUAUCACCUGAUGCAAGUGUUUUCGACGCGGUGUACUCGCUGAUCAAGAACAGGAUUCACCGGCUGCCCGUCAUCGACCCGGUCACCGGAAACGCACUUUACAUCCUCACGCACAAGAGGAUCCUCAAGUUCCUCCAGCUCUUCGUGUGUGAGAUGCCAAAGCCGGCCUUCAUGAAGCAGACCCUGGAGGAGCUGGGGAUCGGAACCUACAGCGACAUCGCCUUCAUCCACCCCGACACGCCCAUCAUCAAAGCGCUCAACAUCUUCGUGGAGAGGAGGGUGUCCGCCCUGCCCGUCGUGGACGAGUCAGGGAAAGUUGUUGAUAUUUAUUCCAAAUUUGAUGUCAUAAACCUGGCGGCGGAAAAAACGUACAACAACCUGGACAUCACGGUGACCCAGGCGCUGAAACACCGCUCGCAGUACUUCGAGGGAGUCAUGAAGUGCAACAGGCUGGAGACGCUGGAGACCAUCGUGGACAGGAUAGUGAAAGCAGAGGUCCAUCGGCUGGUGGUGGUGGACGAGAGCGGCAGCAUCGAGGGCAUCAUCUCUCUGUCGGACAUCCUGCAGGCGCUGGUGCUCAGCCCGGCAGGUAUAGACGCGCAACAUUCCUAACCCCACCCCCCCUUUCCCGGGAACCUGACCUCUGACCCCCGCCCCCAGGUCCGCAGGUUUCGGCAGAAAGGACAGCGAGACAGAGUGACGCUGCUGAGGGGGUCUUUAAGGCGCACAGUGAGCUGGGCUGCACUGGUACCCCACUAGGCCCCUGUCCCAAAUCGUCCAACCCGGGAGAUGAAGAGUUGGGCUUCACUGGACUAAUGGCCAGUGAGGGGGGGGGGGGGGUGCAGGGACAGGGGCAGGGGCAGGGGGAGGGGCUGAGUGCUUUUCCUUUCACUGUGGGAGGGAGGCAGUUAUCAUGGCCAUGCCCCUUUGAGAUAGUGAUGUCACGUCCUGGACUUGAUUGGACUCUGAAUAUAAACAGAUGUGGACUGGGCCUUUGGUUAUUUUUAAAAAUGUUUUUAAAUGUUUAUUUAUUUAUACUUCAGCGUUUACUCCUACAUGCAAGCGACUGGACACUCACGUUUUUUUGCGUUCUCCACUGAUGGCUCCUUAUUUAACUUUUUUUUCUUUUUCUUUUUUUUAAAUUUUUUUUUAAAGUGAGUCUCAAGGUGGUAAUAAUGUACUCAUGGGCCAUGCACCAAAACCCCACAAUCCUGUGCAAGGUUCCUGUGGGGGCCAAAUCCUUCUUGCUUGAUUUUUGCGCUACAAACGCCAAACUCUUACCCUCCUGGUGUCAUCAGUGCCAUGUGUGCACUGGUGACGUGAAGGAGGCUGUUUACCCACAUUAAAUCACACACACAGGUCUUUAAAUACCAAAGUAACAGCAGCAAACUGUGUGCUGUCACUGAGCGAAAUCAUAUUGUUUCAAAUUAAAAUUUUAUUUUUAUUUAUUUUUUAGGAAAGGAGUCCAAGUUGUGUCUUGAAAACUGCUGUGACGAAAGAUUGUUUAAAGCUUUAUUUUUUUGAUAGAAAUUUCUGAAAUAUAUAUAUUUUUUUUUUUUUUUGGGGGGGGGAGUGGGUGAAAUGAGUGCAUAGGACAGCAGGACCCCCCGCCUCAUGCAUGAAAGUGGUAGCGAGUUCCUGUUUAUGUUCAUAACAAUGCAAAAAGAAGAGAGAGAGAGAGAGAGAGGGCGCUUUCCAAACACACACAAACUGUCCAUCCGUGGACACUGCAUGCCUGACUCUUAUUCUCUGCGUAUCGUACUGUAUAUAAGAACUAAGCUUCAUACUGAGAAGACUUCAAGUGCCAGAGAAAGCUUUAUUUUUCUGCAGAUUGUAAUGUAAAAAGAUCAUGCUGUUUGUAUGACUGCUAAUGUAAUUUUAAAAAUAUACUUUCAGUUGUGGUAUGUAUUGUUCAUCUGGUUUCACGGACGGGAACGUUGUAUCCAAUAUUAAGUGUGCGUUAAUAGCAUGCGGAUUACACUAUAUUGACAAUACAUGCUGUUUGUUUUUUUAUUUGCUGAUUUGAGGAGUGGAAUAAACAGUGCUACUGAAUCUUUUA